CUGACAUUUUAGCUUCAUCUAAUGUUGCUUUCUUAGUUUCUUUCAAUAGGUCACUUUCACACUAUCAUGCGCAUAUGAUGAGAAACCUUGAAUUUGAUGUUAAUUUGAACGGAGUCAUAGUAGUUUUCAUUCUUAUUUUAUUUUGUUUUCUCCCUCAACGCCAAAAUUAUCUUUCAGUCUGAAGAAUCGUUGGUGGAGCUGCUGCAAAAUCUCGCAGACAUAGAUAUUACAUUCCAAGGUUGAAGAUUAACAAUCAGCACAUACAAUGUUGUCUAGAACCACCUCUCUCUUUCCUCCUGUUCGAACCAUAGAGACCUGGGCAUCCUUCUUUCCAGGUUUUGGUUGUCUCUGCUUCCAGGUAGGAUUGAGCACAUAUAUGGUUUCCCAAUCUGCUGCUGGAUUGCGCCAACUCCAUAGUCGAAACCAUGUCAAGGCUCGACCAGUUAAACCCCUUUCAACUUCUAACAAUAUCUGCUCUUCCGUGGUGCCUCUAGCAUCUCAAAAUUGGCCGGCUAAGAUGGACCACCAAUAACCAUUGAUUCCAUCAAACAUAGGAAUUUCACUUCUGAAAAGUUAAGUUUCUUCUACCAUGAAUGCUCUUUAUUAUUGUAUGAUUAACUUAAUUAAUAAGUAUUUGAUUUUUUCAGAGGAAUUUGAAAGAGGAAGGAGAAGAAGAAGAGUUGACACUGAUAGUGAUCUUGGGAUAUUUUUUUACUAUUUUGUUUUAUUAUGGUUUAGUAAAUUUGGAGCUUACUUAGAUUAUGUAUCAUGCUGUAGUCUUUUAAGAUCAAAGUUUAAAUGUUUUUUCCCCUUUGAUUUCGUGUUUUGUAGGAUUCAUUUGCUGGUGAAGGUAAUCAUGGUCAGCCUUCUAGACAAGUGUCACCGUCUUCAUUAAUGGUGCGAAUGGAGCAAGUCAGAAGAGAACGAGCCACCAAUGAUGGCAGCAUGCGUUCAAGUCUGCUACCCAUCUCACUGUGUAACAUGUUAAGUGAUACUCCAAUACACAGUUUGGUCUUAACAAAUGAGAAAUAAAUUAAUAUAACAUG